AAAAGCAGUCAGUGGGGAGAUAUUACAAGGCCAAGCAGAUAUCAUGUUCUUCAUCAAAAAUUUCCCCUAAGUUCAGCAACUCUUGAAGCUGUUUCUUUUUUUGCCCGAUCCACUAUUAAGAUGGUUACAAAAGCUGACUUUCCAACUCAGACCUCUUCCAUUCAGCAUCCAGAGCAAGCAAGAUCCUUCCCUAACUUGAUUUAUCAGAUUAUUGGAAUGGAGGCAUGAAUGCCUUUUGUUUAAUGCUGUGUUAUGAAUUAUACUGUUAAUUUUAUUUAAAUUGUCCCAGAUCUAUCUAUAAAAAAUCCCCUUAACAGCUGGCUUCUGUGUCCUUAUGGACAUCUUUUUGUUGUUGUUGUUUUCUUUCAGAAUCUUCUACUUGCUAGCAUGACAAGGUGUUCCAGCCCUUGGGGUGCUUUGUUACACAGCAAGAGAUAACUGAUACAACCGUCAUGGCAUCAUCUUGGCAAUAGCUCUGUCUAGAUCUCCUAGAAUGUGUGAGAGGGUGAAUGUGGUAGAAGGAAAAGACAUUUCUAAGAAAAAUGCUAUUGGAUUAGACAGGGAGGGGCCUGGACAGAGGUUGCUAGGGUAUUUGCCCCACAGGUCUCAGGAAUAUGGAACAGUGGGUCUAAAAUCUGGGUCCCAGUUUUGGCGUUGUACUAAGCAGCAAUGUAACAGUGACAAAGUCCCCAACCUGCUAUGGUCUCACACGUAAAACAGGGAGAUGACCUGAAUCCUCAAAGUUCCUUUCCACUCUUGACUUGUCAACUGAUCUUUUUUUUUUUAUUACUCAAUGAAUUUAUUGUAUUUAUACUUGUACAAUGAUCAUCACAACCCAAUGUCCUUUUAGGGCAGCACCUGUGGCAUAUGUAAGUUGCCAGGUUAGGGGUCAAAUCGGAGCCAUAGUUGCCAGCCUAUGCCACAGCCACAGCAAUUCCAGACCUGAGCCACAUCUGCAACCUACACCACAGCUCACGGCAACGCUGGAUCCUUAAUCCACUGAGCAAAGCCAGGGAUCAAACCUAUGUCCUCAUGGAUACCAGUAGUGUUCGUUAACUGCUGAGCCACAGCAGGAACUCCGAAUCCUGGCUUUUGAAGGGAAUGGAGGGGAGUAAGAUAAGGAGAUAGGCAGGGAGAGUUCCCCAGGCAAUAAACAUUUCUGUUAAAAAAAAAAAAAAAGUGUUCAAAACAUUCCACAAUUUUACCUCUUUGUAAGCAUUUCUCUUCAGUGAUAUGCAGGCCUUUAAAAAAUAAUUUUGCCCAGAGGUAACAGGCCUAAGUUAAGGAUGGAUAACGUUCACCUCACUUGAAGGAGCUCAUGUAGUAUUUGACAGAACAUUCAGUUCCAGAGAAAUCAUCACAAAGAGAUUUAUUCUAUUUUGGAAAAUGUGACACAUCACCAAUUUGUAUUGUCUGUCGAGAGGUACAGAAAAUCCAGGUUCGGUGGCAUUUUCUACCGGGCAGCGGUCAGGGUUCCGGAGGAGGGGGCUGGGCAGCCCGGAGGGCAUGGGAUACUGGGGUGAGUAGCAGCAGGAGUGGACACUACCCAGCAGAGCUCUCGUCCCAGUCCUCUCGCUCCUUCUUGCACAUUCUCGCCCUUCCCACCUCUUCCCCAGUCCUACUUCCUACAGAAAGGAAGCUCCGUUUCUGAGAGCCAGUGGAGCAUGACCUCGGGAAGCAUCUCCUCUCAGAAAUGCCACCUGACAGAGGUCCUCUCAGGACCAAAUGUCACGUGGGAGUUGAGUGCCACCUGGGUGCCAUUCAUCUGGUGAGAAAGCAAUUCCUUUUAUUGGAGGGGAUUAUCUCUUGUUUACGUGGGUUCAGCAUGAUAAUGGGGACCUCAAAACCCCUUCUUGAUGACACUCUUCUUUACCAGACUGGGAAACAGUUCUUGAGGAUGCUAUUUUCCUGGAAGUGCUACAAAUGAAGGACAAAAUUCUCCAGAACAUGCUUCCUUGCUUUGCCACCAAAUCAUCACUACACAAUCAAACAUAAAAAGUGAUAAAUGUAUUUAGGUGGGGAGAAUAAAUGUUGCUAACACUGCACUCUGGGUCCACAAGGACACCUGGAAAAGUUCCUGGUGUCACAUGAACGGGCUUCAUCACCUUAGAGGAAAAGGGCGUUCUGGGAGAUGUGUCUUCUAGCUCAGUGUUGGAAAACAUCCUGCAAAGAGCCAGGCAUUAAAUAUUUGGGGUUUUCAGGGCCAUAAAGUCUCUGUGACAGCUCCUCAACUCUGCCAAUAUAGUUUG
rnacentral:lncRNA from 1 species